UGUGUGUGUGUGUGUGUGCGUGCGUGCGCGCGCACGCACGCACACACACACACACACU
rnacentral:miRNA from 1 species